rfam:Lentinula edodes NBRC 111202 DNA, contig: scaffold15.
GCCCGCCUAGCUCAAUCGGAUAGAGCGUCAGACUUUUACGUUUGGGAGGGUCCCUGUGUUUAUCUGAAGGCUGCGAGUUCGACCCUCGCGGUGGGCU